rnacentral:rRNA from 1 species
GAUGAACGCUGGCGGCGUGCUUAACACAUGCAAGUCGAACGAUGAAGCCCAGCUUGCUGGGUGGAUUAGUGGCGAACGGGUGAGUAACACGUGAGUAACCUGCCCUUGACUCUGGGAUAAGCCUGGGAAACUGGGUCUAAUACUGGAUAUGACUUCUCAUCGCAUGGUGGGGGGUGGAAAGAUUUAUUGGUCUUGGAUGGACUCGCGGCCUAUCAGCUUGUUGGUGAGGUAAUGGCUCACCAAGGCGACGACGGGUAGCCGGCCUGAGAGGGUGACCGGCCACACUGGGACUGAGACACGGCCCAGACUCCUACGGGAGGCAGCAGUGGGGAAUAUUGCACAAUGGGCGCAAGCCUGAUGCAGCGACGCCGCGUGAGGGAUGACGGCCCUCGGGUUGUAAACCUCUUUCAGUAGGGAAGAAGCGAGAGUGACGGUACCUGCAGAAGAAGCGCCGGCUAACUACGUG